CCUACGGGUGGCAGCAGUGAGGAAUAUUGGUCAAUGGGCGUAAGCCUGAACCAGCCAAGCCGCGUGAGGGAAGAAGGCUCUAUGGAUUGUAAACUUCUUUUGUAAGGGAGUAAAGUAUGGGACGUGUCUUGUUUUGAACGUACCUUACGUAUAUGGAUCGGCUAACUCCGUGCCAGCAGCCGCGGUAAUACGGAGGAUUCAAGCGUUAUCCGGAUUUAUUGGGUUUAAAGGGUGCGUAGGCGGCCGUAUAAGUUAGCGGUGAAAGGCUGUGGCUCAACCACAGAAUUGCCUUUGAAACUGGUGGGCUUGAGUGUAUUAGAGGCAAGCGGAAUGCCUGGUGUAGCGGUGAAAUGCGUAGAUAUCAGGCAGAACACCGGUGGCGAAGGCAGCUUACCAAGCUAUGACUGACGCUGAGGCACGAAAGCGUGGGGAGCAAACAGGAUUAGAUACCCUUGUAGUC
rnacentral:rRNA from 1 species